AUGCCAAGAGUGGCCGUCGGCGGUGUGGUGGCGCUGGGGUGCAAGAUGGUGGGCGGCGGGAGCGACGGGACGCUGGACGUGUGCGGGCGCGUCUGCGUCAUCGACGAGAAUGAGACCAUCGUCUUCGAGAACUUUGUGAGGCCGCUCCUCCCGGUGACGCACUACCGGUACGAGACCACGGGGAUCCGCCCCGAGUACCUGCGGGACGCGCCGACGGUGAAGACGGUGCAGCGGCAGGUAGAGGACAUCCUCCUCAACGGCGAGCAGCCGUGGAAGAUCCGGUCCUCCCGCGGCGCGGCCAGGCUCCUCGUCGGCCACGGCCUGGAGCACGAUCUCAACGUGCUGGGCAUGGACUACCCGGCGUACCUGAAGCGGGACACGGCGGAAUACCCGCCGCUGGUGAAGACGAGCGCCAGGCUGAUGAGCAACUCGCUCCGGUUCCUCACACAAAGCUGCCUCGGCUACGAAAUCCAGACGGGCCACCAGCACCCCUACGAGGACUGCGUGGCGGCCAUGCGGCUGUACAAGAGGAUGCGCGCGAUGAGGCACGGCCAGCCCAAGAACGGCGGCGAAGGCGAUGGGUGCGCGGCGGUGGCAUUCCCAGCGCGGAGGCAGCGGGAGCUGGAGCGCAUGUCGCCGGAGGAGCUCCUUAGCAUGUCCAAGCCGGACUACCACUGCUGGUGCCUCGACGACUAG
rnacentral:rRNA from 1 species